CAAGAGAAUACUUAAGCAACGACAUCAUCACUUACAGGCACGACCUCAACAAUUGAGGGAUUAAUAAAGUAUAGUCCAUUCACCGGGAUUGGAUGGUGAGAUCCUCGAGCUCGUCUAUCAAGCACUCUACUAACUCCUCCCCAGCAAGAUUUGUUGUCAACAACAUAGAAAGAGGAGGAAUAAUGGGACUCAAUGCCUU
rnacentral:lncRNA from 1 species